rnacentral:rRNA from 1 species
CCUACGGGCGACAGCAGUGAGGAAUAUUGGUCAAUGGACGGAAGUCUGAACCAGCCAUGCCGCGUGCAGGAAGACGGCUCUAUGAGUUGUAAACUGCUUUUGUACAAGGGUAAACCUGAAUACGUGUAUUCCCCUGAACGUACUUUACGAAUAAGGAUCGGCUAACUCCGUGCCAGCCGCCGCGGUAAUACGGAGGAUCCAAGCGUUAUCCGGAUUUAUUGGGUUUAAAGGGUGCGUAGGCGGAUUGAUAAGUUAGAGGUGAAAUGUCCGAGCUUAACUCGGGAACUGCCUCUAAUACUGGUGAGCUAGAGAGUAGAUGCGGUAGGCGGAAUGUAUGGUGUAGCGGUGAAAUGCUUAGAGAUCAUACAGAACACCGAUUGCGAAGGCAGCUUACCAAGCUAUAUCUGACGCUGAGGCACGAAAGCGUGGGGAGCAAACAGGAUUAGAUACCCCGGUAGUC